AGGAUGAACGCUGGCGGUCUGCUUAACACAUGCAAGUCGAACGGGCGUAGCAAUACGUUAGUGGCGGACGGGUGAGUAACGCGUGAGAAUCUACCUUCAGGACGGAGACAACAGUUGGAAACGACUGCUAACCCCCGAUGUACUGAAAAGGCAAAUAUUUAUAGCCUGAAGAAGAGCUCGCGUCCGAUUAGCUAGUUGGAGAGGUAAAAGCUCACCAAGGCGACGAUCGGUAGCUGGUCUGAGAGGACGAUCAGCCACACUGGGACUGAGACACGGCCCAGACUCCUACGGGAGGCAGCAGUGGGAAUUUUCCGCAAUGGGCGAAAGCCUGACGGAGCAAGACCGCGUGGGGGAAGAAGGCUCUUGGGUUGUAAACCCCUUUUCUCUGGGAGAAAGUUGUGAAAGCAGCCUGACGGUACCAGAGGAAUCAGCAUCGGCUAACUCCGCGCCAGCAGCCGC
rnacentral:rRNA from 1 species